AAGUUUCCUAUCUGUAAAACAAAGAUAAAAACUAAUACUGACUUCAUAGGAUUUCAUUAAGUAAGAGCCCAUGUAUAGAACUGCCUAGGAGCGAAUGUCAAUUUCUUUUUUCUUAGGCUACAAAUAGAGGGGGAAGGUGACAACCUAGGAACAAGGAUAAAGAACUUCUCUGGCCAAUGCGCAAUGUUCAAAGAGUAUAAUGAGGAUGGAUGAUUCUGGAUAACUGGUUGUGGUGGCAACAAGCCAGGGUCUAGGCCUACAUCAAGUGGUUCUGACAAGAGUCUGAUGGAAGAGGCAUAAUGGUUCUGGGUUAUUAUUCUGUGCUCAGCUGUAUGUAGGCUAGUGGAAGAAGGAACAGGAUCCUCUCCACUCCAGUCCUAAGUUGGGAUUAGUAGGACGUAGGCAGGCUGACGGCCAUGACACAAGUGUAGUCAGUGGACUGUUUCAGCUGAAAACCAGUGGUACUAAUUGAGUCAGAGUUCACAUCUAACACACCUAAAAUCAAUUCUAAUUCUUGGACCCAGCUGCUAUUAGAGGUGAGGAUGUCUGCUCCUACAAUGGCCUGGAUUGGCUCAGACACUAGACAGAGCUGAGCCUUUGAUGAAAGUGCAUAACAGUAAUAAUAAUUAUUAUUACUAUAAUUUAUCCUUAAGUAUCUUGUGCUAGGGUUUCCAUUCAACCUCACCACAUCACUGAGAGGAGCAAACUAAAAGUAAACAUUUUGUUU
rnacentral:lncRNA from 1 species